GAUGUGACACAUCCUAGUACUACGAAUCUGGAGGCAGAUUCGGCAGAUUCGUAGUACUAGGAUGUGUCACAUCCAGUCUUAGAUUCGUUUUUUUCGGGAC
rnacentral:misc_RNA from 1 species